rfam:Echinococcus granulosus EG_S00517, whole genome shotgun sequence.
GCGCCAGUAGUGUAGUGGUAUCAUGCAUGCCUCCCACGCAUGCGACCCGGGUUCGAGUCCCGGCUGGCGCA